rnacentral:rRNA from 1 species
UACGUAGGGGGCAAGCGUUGUCCGGAUUUAUUGGGCGUAAAGCGCGUGUAGGCGGCCAGAUAGGUCUGCUGUGAAAACUCGAGGCUCAACCUCCAGCUGUCGAUGGAAACCAUCUGGCUAGAGUCCGGAAGAGGAGAGUGGAAUUCCUGGUGUAGCGGUGAAAUGCGCAGAUAUCAGGAAGAACACCCGUGGCGAAGGCGGCUCGCUGGGCCGGUACUGACGCUGAGACGCGAAAGCGUGGGGAGCGAACAGG